AUUGAACGCUGGCGGCAUGCUUUACACAUGCAAGUCGAACGGUAACAGGUUAAGCUGACGAGUGGCGAACGGGUGAGUAAUGCAUCGGAACGUACCCGAUCGUGGGGGAUAACGCAGCGAAAGCUGCGCUAAUACCGCAUACGAUCUGAGGAUGAAAGCGGGGGACCGUAAGGCCUCGCGCGAUCGGAGCGGCCGAUGUCAGAUUAGGUAGUUGGUGGGGUAAAGGCCCACCAAGCCGACGAUCUGUAGCUGGUCUGAGAGGACGACCAGCCACACUGGGGCUGAGACACGGCACAGACUCCUACGGGAGGCAGCAGUGGGGAAUUUUGGACAAUGGGCGAAAGCCUGAUCCAGCAAUGCCGCGUGCAGGAAGAAGGCCUUCGGGCUGUAAACUGCUUUUGUACGGAGCGAAAAGGUCCUUUCUGAUACAAGGGGCUCAUGACGGUACCGUAAGAAUAAGCACCGGCUAACUACGUGCCAGCCGCCGCAGUAAAAC
rnacentral:rRNA from 1 species